ensembl:lncRNA
UCUCAUCAUCAGGCGUCAGCCCUCACUGCCAUGGCUUCAGGCUGUGUCCUUAGCUCUGUGAUCCUCCUCUUUCUUCUCCUCCCCUCCCCAUGUUUGUGGCAGGAGCCCAGCCCACUUUAUUUUCCAGCUCCAGGAAUCUGCUGCAGACUCAGACAGGCGCGCUGAGGCAGGCGAGGAAGCAGGUAUCAUGACCCUGCUGGGAGAUAACUGCCAGGCUGUAUCCUCCAAAGACAAUGAACUUUGAAGCCGCACAAGGAAGUAUCUGGUCUGGAUUUUGGCUCAGUAGCACUGUCCUCAUCUUCUGGGAGUCUUAUAUCAACAUGAGUGUGAAGGGAAAGAAGCCUGGUCUGAUAAUCAGCUGGCACAGGUCUUUCUCCAUCCUGGCUCCAUGGAAAAAAGGAAGAGGUAACACACAUCCUGUACUGGAUAGUGAGGUUGUCCUUACAAAAAUGAAGCUCUUAAACAACCUCCAUCAGAAGCACCUCGUGGAAGAUGCCACCAAUCUCUCCCUAAAGUCAUGCUGUGAGCAAGAAUCCACCAAAGCCUCUCAGAUCAAUCUCCACCUCGAUGAGAACUCCAUGGAGCUUCAGCCUGAAUCCUGCUCGGACUUCAUCUCCACAGUUUUCUCAGAACCUGAGCUGCCGAGGUUGUGCAAGUUUGAAUCAGAGGACUCUGGAGUGGAACUACCAAGUGGAGCUAACUCACCAUCCACUCCGUCUGCUUCUGAGCAGAGCUUUGUGGUCCACAGUCGAGAAUCCUCCUGUGAUUCCUGUAAUUCAAAGCCUGACUCUACAUUGUGCCCAUAUACACAGAACUCUGAGACCAAAGAGACGGAAUAUUUGGUGGCAGCAGAUCCUCAGGACCUACAGCCAGAGGAGCACAGUUCUUCAACUACAGCAGGAGAUCUGCAGGAAGCUGAGCCCAUGGACAUUAAGGCCUUAGUGAUUAGCCCAGAAAGAGGUGAAGACGUGCCUGAAAAGCUUAGGGAGAACAGUGCUGUGACUGAAGGGAGCUCCUGCAAAUGCACGAGGCAAUGUGGGAAAGAAUGUGCUGAAAUAACUGGUCAUCAGUUUGAGCCAGAGCCCUUAAGCAGUGAGAGCCUCGAGGAGUACAUGGACCACUGCUGCAGAAUAAGUCAGUCACAGCAGGAGAGUUCCAGCCCUCUGGGUUCAGGACUGGGUUACCUGCAGCACAUGUGCCAACUCAUAGAGAAGAUCGGUCAGCUGCAGGAGACCAACCUUCGGCUGCAGAGGCAGAUUAGCAGCCUGCAGAAGGACAGCAGGAUGACAAAGACCAAAGAGGUUUUCUUUCAGCAGCAGUGCAGCUGUGGCGCAGCCAGCUUGGCCUUUCAGGAUGUUCAGAAAAGACACUCCAGAAGCAGCCAUCCGUCAUCCAAUAAUACCCUGUCUGACCUGUCCACCAUCAGCGAAGUCACCCGACAUCCACUCAGAACAAGAGUUUCAGACCUGAGCAGCGAGGAUUUAUUCCCCUUCCCUCUGUGGAGGAGAGACUUGAAUCGCAGGAGCUACACUGAGGGGGAGGCCCACUUCUGUGAAGACAGCAGUGAAGGGCCCCCACAGCCCCAGCACAGGCUGUGUGAGAGCUACACCUGGGGACGUGCCAAAGACUUGGUAAAAAAGACAAGGUUAAGGAACCAGAGCAAGCUCAGACUGUCUUCCACCUCUCUGAAGAUGUCCUGUCCUCAGCUUUCCAUGUGAGAGAUUACAAUGCAAGAUGCAAAACUCUGUUUACUUAUACAAAUGGUUGGACACUUGAUAUAUUCAGCCUACUUUAAAAAAAUAAAAAAUAAUAAAAUAAAAAAUGUAAAGAGUACACACCAUUGUAAUUUGUGACCAGAUUUACAUUAUGUUAGACAUUUUAACACAAAGUUUUUUAUUGUUUUUAAUUUAGACUAGGUGCUAUAAGCACAACAGACCUGUAUACAGAUUGCCAAAAGAUGUAACAACAUGUAACCAGAGAUAUGUCAGUGUAAAAGUGUGUAAAUUCUUGGAUUAGGAAGAGAGAAAAGAGGUGAUGUUUUUGAGAAAUUUGAGUCAUGAAAACUCUUCAUGAAGAGCCGUGUAAGAGGUUUCUGACAGAUUAGGACUGUUGAAUUGAUAUCUGCUGAAAGGAUGGGUGAACUGUGGCCGUCCAUUUUUUUCCGUUGUUUCCAUUUUGCUGCACAGUGAAGGAAAUUGACGGCAGGGGAGGACACCUGUCUCGAUUAAGGCUCCACACAGGCAUGUCUGGAGGAGUGAGAAGACUCACUCUUGCCAUCCAAGACUCAUCAGACCCCAAUGCUUUUGAAAAAAAGCUUAUUGUUACUAAUUCUGUAGUUCCAGUUACUAUUAUAGACAGACAAAUUAUCAUACUUAGGGGGUCAUCUAAUCAUUAGGUCACAUCUUAGCUAUGCUGUUAUAGGCCAAGGCUGCCGGGGUCCGGAAACAUGAUCACCUGACAGGCCUCUGUCACCCCACUGGGUCAUGGUUUCCUCUCCUCUCCUCUCCUCUCCUCUCCUCUCCUCUCCUCUCCUCUCCUCUCCUCUCCUCUCCUCUCCUCUCCUCUCCUCUCCUCUCCUCUCCUCUCCUCUCCUCUCCUCUCCUCUCCUCUCCUCUCCUCUCCUCUCCUCUCCUCUCCUCUCCUCUCCUCUCCUCUCCUCUCUCUACCCAGCCGGCCAUCAGCAGGAGGGUCCCCCUACAUGAGCCUGGUCCUGCUCAAGGUUUCUUCCUGCUAAAGGGGAGUUUUUCCUUGCCACUGAUGCUUGUCUCAGGUUAGGCCCUGGGAUUCUGGAAAGGGCCUUGAAACAAUUUUGAUUGUAAAAGAUGCUAUAUACAUAAAGAUUGAUUUGAUUUGAUUUGAAAUGCUAAAUAAUUUACAGGAUUGCAGAUUGGAAGAGCAAGUAACACAGUGAAUAUACUAUGUUCUAAUUUUAAAGGCCUGAACUGGGACCAGAACUGGCAUGCAGACAGAGAAACUCAAUGCUUGUCUCCGAUUAACACAAAUGUGGUUUUAUUGGCAACAAUAAAGAUGCAGGUAGUGGAAGAAUUAUUUUUUUGGGGGGGGGGGGGGGCGGUGUUGAUUUAUGUUUUGCUGUUUAGUUUCAAUCCUUAGGGUGGUAGUAUUAAAUUCAAACCCGAGUCGCCAUGUUAAAACAUGCAUUUGUGUGUUUUAUUGGUACCCUCCUCACUACAAUCACAGUCCCCUAAUUUAAAAAAAUAAAAAGCUGCAACAUGUGCAGAAAUAUCAUCUGCGGGUUUACUCAAAUACUCAGAUUAAAUUCCCGGUGAUAAGGGAUCAGAAUUUCUAUGACACAAGUUAACUUUUCAUUUGGUGCAAUUGUUGAUUUCUGAAUGCCUUCAGUCUCGUGUCCAUAGUUAUUCCUCCCAUGUGAGUGAACUGCAAUGAGAAACAUUCGCUGAUUUCAAAAUAUUAUAAAUAAAUGCAAAUGUUAGUGAUCUUACCUUAAAUGUGUGUCUCUGUGGUGUCUUUGGGUCAGAACCACAUUGUUUUCUCUGACAACUCAAAGAUCUGCAGAGGUGAAGAAGACGGGAACAGAAAGAAGUGAGGAAGCAAAUAGAAAGAAACAGAAAGUUCAUGCAAUUAGAGGAAAGUUGAUUUGUCCUUGGCAGACGCCGUCUCAGCGUCAAGGGAGAAUUGUGUUGAUGUCCCAAUAUUUAUGGAUGUAUACAGUGUAUACACACACACAUAGAACACAAUACUUUUCACUGGUAAAUAGACCAGUUUUUAGUUCACCAGUUUUUUUAAUUAUCAUGUGGUAAACAAUUAUAACAUGCAAUUUCACUAUGAGAGAUUAUUUUAUUGAUUUCUGGGGCUUAUGACAAACAAAUGCUGACUGCUGCAAACAUUUUUAUACAAGAUUUAAAAUAUAAUCAGAAAAAUGACUGAUAUUCAGAAAAGGUCACACAUUGAUGGAGUGAUAUAGUUGCAGUGCUGCCUCAAAUAUUCUGUUUUAUAUAUGAGUUCUUUGUCACAUCUAAAAUAAGGAAUAUAUGAGAACUUUAUAAAGAAAAUAAGAAAUGAGCCUGUAUAUGUAUUUAUUGCUGUUUAUCUGUAGUAUGGCAGUAAACAAGUAUUCUGUGUACUAUAUGAUGCUGUAUAGAUGUGGCAUCAAUGCAAAUGUAUUUUUAAUAAUAAAGUUAAAUGUGAAUAAUUUAUUUGUGUUCUUUUUCCCAUUGAAUGAAAAAAAAUGUCCCUAUUGUAAAAUAAAAAAAAACAUGUGAAAUGCAGUGAAUUGUAGUGGACGUCUGUGCCAGAUACAAAACCGGACCCACGGUGCAAGAAAGAUUGUGCAGGAGACUGGAGCCGCAGGGCCACUGGGAGCGCAUGGCAGGCAUGGCUGAACGGAGUUGAAGCAGGAUACUUGGCUAAAAAGAAACAAGGGUGAGAAAGGCAAAAGCUAGGACAAGGAGGAAAGUUCUUAGUCAUCUGAUUUAGCCAAACAUUACCACAAUGUUGACGACUUGAUCUGGUGAAAAGUGCUGGUAGCUGGUUUUCAUAAUACACAGGUAGUUGAGAUAAGGCCGAGUUGAACUUCAGGUGACUGUGAGGGACGGAACAGAAAGCAGGUCAGCCUGUUCACCUGGGAACCCAGUGACAGUCCUCUUAGCUACCACUGCAUGCAUAAAGUAAAUAUAUACCCCUUUAAAAGUUACUUACUAACUAGAAUUCAGGCAACCUUAAUCAUAAGCAUUGCCCACAAUGAUUUCUCAAGUUUAGUCAGAUAUUUCCAUCAUCUAAUAGCUGUCCUGUGUUUCGGAGGGGGCAGGAGCCGUAUUGGUUAUUAGCGUAAAACUAAAUUGGCUGAAUAAGUGAUGAUACUUACUGUAUUCAAUGAAAAUUAUAAUUAAAACAAUUUGGAUGCCAUGCUAGUGCCAGUCUGUAUAAUCCGUCUCAAACAGAAUUCACUACUAAAUGUAAAAAAUGUCUUUAGGGUUUCCCAAAGACCACCCAUGCACAGGUAAAUGCAGAAAUGAAUACAGGCACCACGCACAGUGAAUUAAACUUCAUCUAGCAUUUGAUAAAAUAAACAUUCCAAUGGUUCAGUUCUAACCGAGAAAAAAAAGGAUGUCUAGUGCAGCCAUCACACUAACCUUUCAGGGGGACAGCUAACUAGAGAGGAGAGACUAUGCCAACUAGCUGUGGCAGAGGUCACUGCAACUUUAAGGACUAAUAACACAAAAAAGAAAUUCACCAAAAUAAUUAUAUACAAAGCUACAAACCCAAACCACAAAAAAUAAAGAAACGCUACAUAAGUUUAGUAAAACCUCCACACCAUUGCUGUACUAACCUUCUUCCCCCAAAACCCAACAGGCCAGGAUCUAGCUAAACACAACCAAACCCCCGUUCUCUAGGCCAAAAAGGAUUGUCUAAAUAAGAAACUAAGAAAGGCAAACGAAAACUAAGAGCCAAGGCAGGACAACCAGGGGUGCAACACCAGGCAAACUGGGGGGUUUGCUGUAGCUUGCAUGCAUCAAUUUCAUGUAGCUGAUGGCAGCUAAUCAGAAGGAGGCCACAUGCUGGACUGGAGUGAUCACUACCACACAGGGACACCACAGCUUUGCCAGAGAAGAAAGAAUGUGAAUAACCCAAAAUUCAAAAUUCAUGUAAACCGGACACACAGAGUUAUUAACCAUCCGGUUACACUAUAUAUCUACAAUGCAUGCAAAAGAGAUGUGUGUAAGUGUGUGGGCUGUGUGGUGUGUUUGUAUGUGGGCAUAGUUAAAGAGGGGGCAAGGAUGGCGACUUAUCUCCAAAAUAGCGGCAUGUCCAGAGACAGCACAAAAAGGCAGAUGAUUUCAUGGAUCUUCAGGAUGGUGGAGAAACCCAUGACACAUAAAUUUGAGAAAGGAUAUGUAGAAUUACUAGUUCACCAUAACAAAAGAUGGCAAUGAGAAAUAAUUUUAUCUCAUCUGUCUCAUCUAUCUGUUAAUAUCAACACAGUCAAUAAACUUAAAAAACACAAAACUUCAGGUACGAGAGUCAGAAGUCUGGCACAUCACUUGAAUCUUUGUUGGUAAAAAACCUUACAAUAACUUAUUUCUGCCCAGAUGAAAGCCUCUUAUUUGUAUAUCCCUUUGAGAGCAAAACGUUGGCAGGGCAAGUGUGGGAUACGGUAGUCAGCUGGAUGAGAGAAAACCUAACACAUGUUUCUCUCAUGUAAUUCUGAAGAGUCACAGAAAUGAUGACUGAAUCAAGAAGGUGUUCUGGGACCUCUUCCUACUGCCUACUACCUUCGCCAUGUGCCACCUCAUCAGUGGUGUAGACAAGAUGAGACAUUGCCAGUAGUAGUGGGUCUGACCUCCUGCUGAA